rnacentral:rRNA from 1 species
GAUGAACGCUGGCGGCGUGCCUAAUACAUGCAAGUCGAACGAGCUCUUCGGAGCUAGUGGCGAACGGGUGAGUAACACGUUGGUACCUACCCCGAAGUGGGGAAUAACUGCCCGAAAGGGUGGCUAAUACCGCAUAAUACCGAAAGGUUAAAGCAGUAAUGCGCUUCGGGAGGGGCCUGCGUCCCAUUAGCUUGUUGGCGGGGUAAAUGCCCACCAAGGCGACGAUGGGUAGCUGGAUCGAGAGGUUGACCAGCCACACUGGGACUGAGAUACGGCCCAGACUCCUACGGGAGGCAGCAGUAAGGAAUCUUCCACAAUGGACGAAAGUCUGAUGGAGCAACGCCGCGUGCAGGAUUAAGGCCUUCGGGUUGUAAACUGCUUUUAUAUGGGAAGAUUAUGACGGUACCAUAUGAAUAAGGACCGGCUAACUACGUGCCAGCCGCCGCCGUAACAC